UACGUAGGGCGCAAGCGUUGUCCGGAAUUAUUGGGCGUAAAGAGCUCGUAGGCGGUUUGUCGCGUCUGCUGUGAAAACUCGAGGCUCAACCUCGGGCUUGCAGUGGGUACGGGCAGACUAGAGUGCGGUAGGGGUGACUGGAAUUCCUGGUGUAGCGGUGGAAUGCGCAGAAAUCAGGAGGAACACCGAGGGCGAAGGCAGGUCACUGGGCCGCAACUGACGCGGAGGAGCGAAAGCAUGGGGAGCGAACAGG
rnacentral:rRNA from 1 species